UACAGAGGCCUCGAGCGUUAGGCGGAAUCACUGGGCUUAAAGCGUGUGUAGGCGGAUCGUUAAGUACCUUGUGAAAUCCCACGGCUUAACCGUGGAACUGCUUGGGAUACUGGCGAUCUUGAGCCACCUAGGGGCGAGCGGAACAGAUGGUGGAGCGGUGAAAUGCGUAGAUAUCAUCUGGAACGCCAAUGGUGAAAACAGCUCGCUGGGGGUGUGCAGACGCUGAGACACGAAAGCCAGGGGAGCGAACGGG
rnacentral:rRNA from 1 species